rnacentral:rRNA from 1 species
UACGUAGGGUGCGAGCGUUAAUCGGAAUUACUGGGCGUAAAGAGUGCGUAGGCGGUCCCGCAAGUCCGCUGUGAAAGCCCCGGGCUUAACCUGGGAAUGGCAGUGGAAACUAUGGGACUUGAAUCUGGCAGAGGGGGUGGAAUGCCACGGUGGUAAGCAGUGAAAUGCGUAGAGAUGUGGCGGAACACCGAUGGCGAAGGCAGCCCCUGGGCUGAGAUUGACGCUCAGGCACGAAGCGUGGGGAGCAAACAGGA